AGAGCGAACGCUGGCGGCAGGCCUAACACAUGCAAGUCGAGCGCCCCGCAAGGGGAGCGGCAGACGGGAGAGUAACACGUGGGAACGUACCCUUCAGUUCGGAACAACCCAGGGAAACUUGGGCUAAUACCGGAUACGUCCGUAAGGAGAAAGAUUUAUCGCUGAAGGAUCGGCCCGCGUCUGAUUAGCUAGUUGGUGGGGUAACGGCUCACCAAGGCGACGAUCAGUAGCUGGUCUGAGAGGAUGAUCAGCCUCACUGGGACUGAGACACGGCCCAGACUCCUACGGGAGGCAGCAGUGGGGAAUAUUGGACAAUGGGCGCAAGCCUGAUCCAGCCAUGCCGCGUGGGUGAUGAAGGCCCUAGGGUUGUAAAGCCCGUUUCGGCGGGGAAGAUAAUGACGGUACCGCAGAAGAAGCCCGGCUAACUUCGCGCCAGCAGCCGC
rnacentral:rRNA from 1 species